GCACUGCUGACGAGUCCCGAACAGCACGAAACAGCUGUCCAGUGC
rfam:Echinostoma caproni strain Egypt genome assembly, scaffold: ECPE_scaffold0015093